rnacentral:rRNA from 1 species
GACAGAGGAUGCAAGCGUUAUCCGGAAUUGAUUAGGCGUAAAGCGUCUGUAGGUGGCUUUUUAAGUCCGCCGUCAAAUCCCAGGGCUCAACCCUGGACAGGCGGUGGAAACUCCAAAGCUGGAGUACCGGUAGGGGCAGAGGGAAUUUCCGGUGGAGCGGUGAAAUGCGUAGAGAUACGGAAAGAACACCAACGGGCGAAAGCA